rnacentral:rRNA from 1 species
GAACGAACGCUGGCGGCGUGGAUAAGACAUGCAAGUUGAACGCUAAUUCCGGUGUAGCAAUACAUCGGAGUUGGAGUAGCGCAAGGGUGCGUAACACGUGGGUAAUUUGCCGUGAAGUUGGGGAUAACUCGCUGAAAGGCGAGCUAAUACCGAAUGUGAAGUUUGGGUGGCAUCACCUGACCUUUAAAGCUGGGGAUCGUAAGACCUGGCGCUUUAUGAUAAGCCCGCGGCCAUCAGCUAGUUGGUGAGGUAACGGCUCACCAAGGCUAAGACGGGUAGCUGGUCUGAGAGGACGACCAGCCACACUGGAACUGGAGACAC